AUUUAAAUACAUCUUAUGUUGAGGUUCAAC
rfam:Clostridium autoethanogenum DSM 10061, complete genome.